GUAGUCUCGCACAGAUGCAUAUCAAUAAGCGGAGGAAAAGAAACUAACAAGGAUUCCCCUAGUAACGGCGAGUGAAGCGGGAAGAGCUCAAAUUUGAAAUCUUAAAGGGUUUCCCUUUACGAAUUGUAGUUUAAAGAAGUGUUUUCUGUUGAGGUUUUGGUAAAAGUUCUUUGGAAUAGGACAUCAUAGAGGGUGAGAAUCCCGUAUUUGACCUUUACUUUCAACUUUGUGAUACACUUUCAAAGAGUCGGAUUGUUUGGGAAUGCAGUCCAAAAUGGGUGGUAAAUUUCAUCUAAAGCUAAAUAUUGGCGAGAGACCGAUAGCGAACAAGUACCGUGAGGGAAAGAUGAAAAGAACUUUGAAAAGAGAGUUAAACAGUACGUGAAAUUGUCAAAAGGGAAGCGUUUGACACCAGUGUUGUUUUUCUGAAAAUCAAUUAAAGAACUGUUUAUGCUAAGUUGUUUAGACUUUAUCAGCUAUCUGCUUAGUUUUGAGCUUUUCUUUAAUGCACUUUUCAGUUAACAAGUCAACAUCAAUUUCUUUUGCUGUAAAAAAGCUUGAGGAAGGUGGCUUGAGAUUCGUCUUAAGUGUUUAUAGCCUCUUGCCUAUGCAGUCGGAGAGAUUGAGGUCUGCAGCGUAGAUCCUUCGGGGCUAAAUGCAUUUGUGCUAAGUUAUAGCAUUUUAUAGACAACUUGUUGAUUAUGAUUUGUCUUGUAGCUUACUCGCUUAUGUUAUUUUACCUACGCUUAGGAUGUUGAUCUGUAGUGCGUGCGC
rnacentral:rRNA from 1 species